rnacentral:rRNA from 1 species
GAACGCUGGCGGCAGGCCUAACACAUGCAAGUCGAACGGUAACAGGAAGCAGCUUGCUGCUUGCUGACGAGUGGCGGACGGGUGAGUAAUGUCUGGGAAACUGCCUGAUGAGGGGGAGUAACUACUGGAAACGGUAGCUAAUACCGCAUAACGUCGCAAGACCAAAGAGGGGGACCUUCGGGCCUCUUGCCAUCAGAUGUGCCCAGAUGGGAUUAGCUUGUUGGUGGGGUAACGGCUCACCAAGGCGACGAUCCCUAGCUGGUCUGAGAGGAUGACCAGCCACACUGGAACUGAGACACGGUCCAGACUCCUACGGGAGGCAGCAGUGGGGAAUAUUGCACAAUGGGCGCAAGCCUGAUGCAGCCAUGCCGCGUGUAUGAAGAAGGCCUUCGGGUUGUAAAGUACUUUCAGCGGGGAGGAAGGUGUUGUGGUUAAUAACCACAGCAAUUGACGUUACCCGCAGAAGAAGCACCGGCUAACUCCGUGCCAGCAGCCGC